UACAGAGGGUGCAAGCGUUAAUCAGAAUUACUGGGCGUAAAGGGCGCGUAGGUGGUUGAUUAAGUGAGAUGUGAAAUCCCUGGGCUUAACCUAGGAACUGCAUCUUAAACUGAUAGACUAGAGUACGGUAGAGGGUAGUGGAAUUUCCGGUGUAGCGGUGAAAUGCGUAGAUAUCGGAAGGAACACCAGUGGCGAAGGCGGCUACCUGGACUGAUACUGACACUGAGGCGCGAAAGCGUGGGUAGCAAACAGG
rnacentral:rRNA from 1 species